CCCUUAGAUGUUCUGGGCCGCACGCGUGCUACACUGAGUGGAUCAGCGGGUCAGGUUGCGCGAAAGUGUUUCCUAAUCUUGAAAUCCGCUCGUGAUGGGGAUUGACGGUUGCAAUUUUCCGUCAUGAACGAGGAAUACCUUGUAAGCGCGGGUCAUCAUCCCGCGCUGAAUACGUCCCUGCCCUUUGUACACGCCGCCCGUCGCUCCUACCGAUUGAGUGGUCCGGUGAGGCUUUGGGAUCUGAGCGGAAAGAGCGUUUCGCUGUUUCUGCUCGGAAAACUCAGUCGAACCUUAUCAUUUAGAGGAAGGAGAAGUCGUAACA
rnacentral:rRNA from 1 species